ACCCUAAUAUUGAAAGGGGAACAAUUGCAAAAUAUGUAAAAUUCCAAUUCCAUCUCCAUUUUUUGUUGCCCGAACCCGGCUGGGCUGGCAAUCAGUCAUCCUACGCGCGCUUUUUACAGCCCACACUUCGAAGCAAGCGAGCAAGCGAGUAAAGGCUGCGGCAGUCACAUAGCCAACCAAAGUGAACUCCGAAACGGCGGAACAAACUCGAAGGCUUUGCUCGGCGCUCGACGAUGGCGAAUAUCGUUGAUCAGGAUCAACAAUGGCUUAUCAAUUGCUUGUCCGCCACUCUCGACCCCAACCAAGAGGUUCGCUCAUUUGCAGAAGCCUCGCUAAAUCAGGCAUCUCUUCAACCAGGUUUUGGGGUUGCAUUAUCCAAAGUUACUGCCAACAGGGAGCUUCCUGUAGGAUUGCGCCAGCUAGCUGCAGUCCUUCUAAAGCAGUUCAUCAAGAAACACUGGCAAGAGGGUGAUGAAUCAUUUGAACAUCCUGCGGUUUCUAAUGACGAGAAGGCAGUCAUUCGCAAGCUUCUAUUAUUAACAUUGGAUGAUUCACAUAGAAAAAUUUGUACAGCAAUUAGUAUGGCUGUGGCUUCAAUUGCAAUAUAUGAUUGGCCGGAGGAAUGGCCCGAGCUAUUGCCUUACCUCUUAGAUUUGAUGAAUAAUCGAAUUAAUAUGAAUGGUGUGCAUGGUGGUCUAAGGUGCUUGGCUCUACUCUCUGGGGAAUUGGACUGUGAAAUGAUUCCAAGACUAGUACCUGCUCUGUUCCCACACUUGCUUUCAAUUGUUUCAUCCCCAGAGAUGUAUGACAAGUAUUUGCGGACGAAGGCCCUGUCAGUUGUUUACUCUUGUAUAUCCAUGUUAGGGGCGAUGAGUGGUGUGUAUAAGGAAGAAACCAGUGCAUUGGUAAUACCCAUGCUAAAACCAUGGAUGGAACAGUUCUCUAUUAUAUUAGGUCAUCCUGUACAAUCUGAAGAUCCUGAUGACUGGAGCAUUAGAAUGGAGGUCUUAAAGUGCAUGAACCAGUUCUUUCAGAAUUUUCCUAGUUUUGCAGAAAAUGAUGUUACAAUUAUUUUGCAAUCAGUGUGGCAGACGUUUGUGUCAUCACUCCAAGUAUAUGUACGAUCAUCCAUUGAAGGUGUAGAAGAUCCAUAUGAAGGAAGCUAUGAUUCAGAUGGGGCUGACAAAAGUCUCGAUUCUUUUGUCAUCCAGUUGUUCGAAUUUCUUUUAACAAUAGUUGGAAGUUCAAAACUGGUGAAGGUUGUGAAGAACAAUCUAGGGGAGUUGGUAUAUUACACAAUUGCUUUCCUACAAAUUACGGAGCAACAGAUUCAUAUGUGGUCAAUGGAUUCCAAUCAAUUUGUUGCAGACGAGGAUGAUGGCAUCUUUAGCUGUCGUGUUUCAGGUGCACUGUUACUCGAAGAAAUUGUUGGUAAUUGUGGUCUAGAUGGAAUCAAUGCCAUCAUCGAUGCUGCCAAAAAUCGCUUCAGUGAGUCACAAAGAGAAAAAGCUUCUGGUUCUUCAGUUUGGUGGAGAAUGAGGGAGGCUAUUCUAUUUGCUUUAGCAUCUUUGGCAGAACAGUUAAUUGAAGUAGAGCCUUCUGGAGUGACAAGAGUUGGUCUGGAAAGUUUUCUCGAGGAAGUAAUGACUGAAGACAUGUCUAUAGGUCCUCAUGAAUGUCCCCUCCUUUAUGCUCGUAUAUUCACGUCAGUUGCCAAGUUCUCCUCUAUGAUUAGGCGUGACCUAAUUCAUCAGUUCCUUCAUGAAGCUGUGAAGGCUCUUGGCACGGAUGUGCCACCUCCUGUGAAAGUUGGUGCCUGCAGGGCACUUUCUGAGCUCCUACCUGAAGAAAACAAAGAAGUCAUUGGGUCUGAAAUGAUGUUUUUGUUUUCAUCACUUGGAAAUCUUCUCAAUGGGGCAUCAGAGGAAACUUUGCACCUGGUACUUGACACCCUGCAAGCUGCAGUUAAGGCUGGUGGUGAAUUGUCCGCUUCAAUAGAGCCCAUUCUUUCUCCUGUGAUUCUUAAAAUGUGGGAAUCACAUGUCUCUGAUCCUUUUAUCAGCAUUGAUUUAAUUGAGGUUCUUGAGGCAAUAAAAAAUUCUCCUGGUUGUAUCCGCCCGUUAGCUUCACGAAUUUUGCCAUAUUUAGUGCCUAUACUAAACAAACCCCAACAUCAGCCAGAUGGGUUAGUCCCUGGAUCAUUAGAUCUGUUGACAAUGCUUUUGAAGAAUGCUCCAAUAGAUGUUGUGAAAGCAGCGUAUGAUGCUUGUUUUGAUGGUGUUGUCAGGAUAAUCCUUCAAACUGAUGAUCAUAGUGAAUUGCAGAAUGCUACGGAAUCUCUAGCAGCUUUUGUAGCAGGGGGGAAGCAAGAAAUUCUUACUUGGGGUUCUGGAUUUACUAUGAAAAAUUUGCUUGCUGCAGCUUCGAGGCUUUUAGACCCUAAGAUGGAAAGUUCUGGAUCAUUCUUCGUUGGAAGUCUUAUCCUGCAAUUGAUAUUGCAUCUUCCAUCACAAAUGGCCCAACAUCUUCCUGACCUGGUUGCUGCACUAGUUAGGCGAAUGCAAUCUGUUCAAAUAUCUGGAGUGCGAAGCUCGUUGAUUCUUAUUUUUGCUCGACUGGUUCACAUGAGUGCCCCUAAUAUUCAACAGCUUAUCGAUUUGCUAGUUUCAAUACCUGCUGAAGGCAAUGAUAAUUCAUUUGUUUAUUUGAUGUCGGAAUGGACAAAGUUGCAAGUUGAGAUUCAGGGUGCUUAUCAAAUAAAAGUUACUACUACUGCAUUGGCCCUGUUGCUGUCAACACAAAGCCCUCACUUAGCACAAAUUAGUGUUCAAGGACAAAUUACUAAGCUUUCUGCAGGGAUAAUUACUCGAUCAAAAGGAAAAUUAGCUCCGGAUCAGUGGACAGUAAUUCCACUUCCAGCGAAGAUAUUAUCAUUGUUGGCUGAUGCACUAAUUGAACUCCAAGAACAAGUUUCGGUUGAUGAUCAGGAUAGCGAAUGGGAGGAUGCUGAGGCAGAUGACAUUUCAAAUGAUGAAAACCUGCUUCAUUCGGUCAAUGCUACAUCUGUAGGUAGACAUACCCAUGAAUAUCUUCAGGUGAUGGCAAAAGUAUACGAUGGGGAAGGUGAUGAGUAUGAAGAUGACCUACUUACUGUUUCUGAUCCUCUUAAUCAGAUUAAUUUGGCAAAAUAUCUGGUGGACUUCUUUAUGAACUUGUAUCAGAAUGACAGACAGAACUUUGAUAAUCUCUUCAAGAGUCUGUCCCAAUCUCAACAGAAUGCUAUUCGGGUGGUACUAAGUCGCUGAGUAUAUUACCACCACUGCUGAAUUUUUCGGGUGGUUAAUUGCUAUCCAAUGCUAACUGCGAGAAUCAGUUUUUCAUUUCCUCUUGAUGGUACACCCCCCCUCCGGGGGUUCUUUUAUUGUUUAUGGUCGUGGUUGCAGAGGGAGGAGAGGGGGAGGACUUCCGUGUGAAUGACAGACUCAUCAGUUUGGUUAUUUUUGUAAGUCUCCUUCAUCGUCUGUUCCAACCUUGUAAAAAGGCUGUUGUGGUAGUCACCGUGGAGGAGUUUGUGAUCAUUCAGGUGUGUCGUUGGCUUCUAAUUGGUGCUCAAAUUCCAGCUGUCGGUUUUUCAGUUUCCCUCCUUGCUGGUAUCCCCUCGCCCCAAUUCCUAAGGGGCAAAAUAGCAAAAAAAAAAAGAAAAAAAAAAUCAUCGAGUGUUGUGUAUUAGGUUUUUUCUGGAGUAUUUGAUCAUUAUUUUUUAGAUGUUUUAUUGAUGUUACUUGUUUUAGUUUCAUAGGUUUGCCUUGAAAGUUAUUUGUAUUAUUAUUAGUGCAUAGUUAGCUCAUGCUUUCUAGAUGAAGAUAUACGUAACUACUACAAACUCGCUAUAUGUAAAAAAGAGGGGGAAAAAAAAAAAAAGGUUCCGCUGCUGAUUGAAUAUUUGAGGAUAUUUGUGUUCAUUAUGACUUGGUUAUUGACAAGGGUUGCUCGAACUCA